rnacentral:rRNA from 1 species
CAGCCGCCGCGGUAAUACGAAGGGUGCAAGCGUUAAUCGGAAUUACUGGGCGUAAAGCGUGCGUAGGCGGUGAGUUAAGUCUGCUGUGAAAUCCCCGGGCUCAACCUGGGAAUGGCAGUGGAUACUGGCUCGCUAGAGUGUGUCAGAGGAUGGUGGAAUUCCCGGUGUAGCGGUGAAAUGCGUAGAUAUUGGAAAGAACACCGGUGGCGAAGGCGGCAACCUGGUCUUUAACUGACGCUGAGGCGCGAAAGCGUGGGGAGCAAACAGGAUUAGAUACCCGUGUAGUCCCUGUCUCUUAUAA